GCCGAAGUGAAUGGUUGUGCGAAUAAAAAAAAUUGUUUUUGUGUUUUUCAAGAAUUAUACCCAAUAUUUAACAUGUCUGAAGGAGAUCUAGUUUUUUCGUACGAAACCAGCCCGAGAGGGAAUCUCCAUCAAACUGGGAGCCCGCGAACAAUUCCACGGACGACAGUCAGUGCAGGUCCAAGUACAUCUGGGAUGCAGUCUGCAUCAACGCCCUCCUCCUCUAGCGGGCGGCGUAUUUUGAAAGCUGCCUCUUCGCGCCGAAUAGAUUUAUCUUUUUGCGGAUACGGGCAGCGACGGCGAUUCCGCAAAAGGAGAAGGUGGAGGAGAUGGAGGUCUUCCUCCAUCGCGCGCAGGGUGGAGAUCGAAGAGGACGAUGAGGCGUUUCGUAAAAGAAUAGAACUUUCGUCAAGGUGUGGAAGUGGUAGAGGCAGAUGAUAUUAAUGUGUGGGAUGAAAGAGAAGAAUUAGAUGACGAAUUGUGUAAUGAACGUAUGGAUGUACGUAUGAACGAGGAAAUGAAUGAUUUGGGGGGGGCAAAAUGACCUUGUCCCGAAUGUUGAUAAUGUGUUCUAUAGGACGGAAGACUUUUCUAGUUUUUCCGGCCGAAAGGAAACUUGCCAGCGAAGUCCUGGUCCAGUGUACAUUUCCGACGAUAUAUUCCUAAAAAUUUGGGACGAGAAUGUUAUGACCCACAUAACAUCGGAAACAAAUAAAUUUGCAAAGCGGCAUAUUGAGACAUUCUCUAAUACCGUAAUUUUAUUGCAUUUUUCUGA